rnacentral:rRNA from 1 species
UAAUACAUGCAAGUCGAGGGGUAACAGUUUCGAGCAAUCGAAAGCUGACGACCGGCGCACGGGUGCGUAACGCGUAUGCAACCUACCUCUAACUGGGGCAUAGCUCCGAGAAAUCGGGAUUAACUCCCCAUAAUAUUCAUUGAUCGCAUGGUUGAUGAAUUAAAACUCCGGUGGUUAGAGAUGGGCAUGCGUGACAUUAGCUAGUUGGUGAGGUAACGGCUCACCAAGGCAACGAUGUCUAGGGGUUCUGAGAGGAUUGUCCCCCACACUGGUACUGAGACACGGACCAGACUCCUACGGGAGGCAGCAGUAAGGAAUAUUGGGCAAUGGACGCAAGUCUGACCCAGCCAUGCCGCGUGCAGGAUGACAGCCCUACGGGUUGUAAACUGCUUUUGUACGGGAAGAACCCCCCGCUCGUGAGCGGGGCUGACGG